CACAAUAUCAUUGACACUAUUUUCAAUGGGUUGAAAUAAUUUCAACUCAGCCCAUUAAGAAUCAUUGAUCAUCAAGAUGAUCCUCAUGAGUCUCACAAUCUACCAAUGACACCUAGCAGUAUGUAGUGACAAUCCAGCAGAAUAAAAGAUGAACCUCUAGAUGCAGUUAGCAUAUGAUACAGUCCCUCUAUCGUGAGUCCCAAUCAGAUAGCAGGUCAUGGAUGAAUCAUCAAAUCUCAACAUCGGUCAUAUGAUAGAUUCAAUCAGCUCGAGUCCAUAUGUGAUUCUAUGGAAACUCUUUUCCAUCAAUUACAAUGCUAUGAUUAUAGACUUAAAGACUCAGCCUCUUAAGUCCCAUAGGACUAUUCUAUUCUACUAGGAUUAAUAGAUCCCAUCUUGAUGCACAUCUCACUCCUACAGUGGACUAACUGUCACCAACAUCCACUACAAGGGCUCAUUGAGAUCUAUG
rnacentral:lncRNA from 1 species